rnacentral:rRNA from 2 species
UGUGACGUUACCAAACUGUUGCCUCGGCGGGGUCACGCCCCGGGUGCGUCGCAGCCCCGGAACCAGGCGCCCGCCGGAGGAACCAACCAAACUCUUUCUGUAGUCCCCUCGCGGACGUAUUUCUUACAGCUCUGAGCAAAAAUUCAAAAUGAAUCAAAACUUUCAACAACGGAUCUCUUGGUUCUGGCAUCGAUGAAGAACGCAGCGAAAUGCGAUAAGUAAUGUGAAUUGCAGAAUUCAGUGAAUCAUCGAAUCUUUGAACGCACAUUGCGCCCGCCAGUAUUCUGGCGGGCAUGCCUGUCCGAGCGUCAUUUCAACCCUCGAACCCCUCCGGGGGAUCGGCGUUGGGGAUCGGGACCCCUCACACGGGUGCCGGCCCCGAAAUACAGUGGCGGUCUCGCCGCAGCCUCUCCUGCGCAGUAGUUUGCACAACUCGCACCGGGAGCGCGGCGCGUCCACGUCCGUAAAACACCCAACUUUCUGAAAUGUUGACCUCGGAUCAGGUAGGAAUACCCGCUGAACUUAAGCAUAUCAAUAAGCGGAGGA